GCCUGGGUGGCGGAACUGGUAUACGCUGGGGACUUAAAAUCCCCCGCCCGUAAGGGAUUGAGGGUUCGAUUCCCUCCCCAGGCACCA
rnacentral:tRNA from 1 species